rnacentral:rRNA from 1 species
GACGAACGCUGGCGGCGUGCCUAAUACAUGCAAGUAGAACGCACAGUUUAUACCGUAGCUUGCUACACCAUAAACUGUGAGUUGCGAACGGGUGAGUAACGCGUAGGUAACCUGCCUGGUAGCGGGGGAUAACUAUUGGAAACGAUAGCUAAUACCGCAUAAUAUUAAUUAUUGCAUGAUAAUUGAUUUAAAGAUGCAAUUUCAUCACUACCAGAUGGACCUGCGUUGUAUUAGCUAGUAGGUGAGGUAACGGCUCACCUAGGCGACGAUACAUAGCCGACCUGAGAGGGUGAUCGGCCACACUGGGACUGAGACACGGCCCAGACUCCUACGGGAGGCAGCAGUAGGGAAUCUUCGGCAAUGGACGAAAGUCUGAACGAGCAACGCCGCGUGAGUGAAGAAGGUUUUCGGAUCGGAAAGCUCUGUUGUAAGAGAAGAAAGGGUGUGAGAGUGGAAAGUUCACACUGUGACGGUAUCUUACCAGAAAGGGACGGCUAACUACGUG